rnacentral:rRNA from 1 species
GACGAGCGCUGGCGGCGUGCUUAACACAUGCAAGUCGAACGGAAAGGCCCUGCUUUUGUGGGGUGCUCGAGUGGCGAACGGGUGAGUAACACGUGAGUAACCUGCCCUUGACUUUGGGAUAACUUCAGGAAACUGGGGCUAAUACCGGAUAGGAGCUCCUGCUGCAUGGGGGGGGUUGGAAAGUUUCGGCGGUUGUGGAUGGACUCGCGGCUUAUCAGCUUGUUGGUGGGGUAGUGGCUUACCAAGGCUUUGACGGGUAGCCGGCCUGAGAGGGUGACCGGCCACCUGGGGACUGAGAUAGGGCCCAGACUCCUACGGGAGGCAGCAGUGGGGAAUAUGGCACAAUGGGCGGAAGCCUGAUGCGGCAGCGCCGCGUGCGGGAUGACGGCCUUCGGGUUGUAAACCGCUGUCGCCUGUGACGAAGCGUGAGUGACGGUAAUGGGUAAAGAAGCACCGGCUAACUACGUG